AAGUAGAAGAACACACCUAGACAUUGUCCAAGAGUGGUUUUGUGGUGCAGAGCAGGAAAGAGGAGGACAGAAUUGACAUCUUGGGUAAAAUGUCUGGAGGCAAAAGGUAUGGGAGAGAAGACUACCUGUAUUGGUGAUUUUCAGCCUUUUAAAAAGCACAGGAUGCUUUCAGCUCUUCUUUUGACACCAUGAAACACCAGAUGACAUAACCUAAAAGUAUUAUCACCUUAAUUGUUGCUUUCUUAAUUUGAAAGUGAGGUUAAAUCAUAAAAAUCAAGCAUACUUAUUCACA
rnacentral:lncRNA from 1 species